UACGGAGGGGGCUAGCGUUGUUCGGAAUUACUGGGCGUAAAGCGCGCGUAGGCGGACCUGCAAGUCGGGGGUGAAAUCCCGGGGCUCAACCUCGGAACUGCCUUUGAUACUGCAAAUCUCGAGUCCGGAAGAGGUGAGUGGAAUUCCUAGUGUAGAGGUGAAAUUCGUAGAUAUUAGGAAGAACACCAGUGGCGAAGGCGGCUCACUGGUCCGGUACUGACGCUGAGGUGCGAAAGCGUGGGGAGCAAACAGG
rnacentral:rRNA from 1 species